UCGGAUUGUAGUCUGCAACCCGACUACAUGAAGCUGGAAUCGCUAGUAAUCGCGAAUCAGAAUGUCGCGGUGAAUACGUUCCCGGGUCUUGUACACACCGCCCGUCACACCAUGGGAGUCGGAAAUGCCCAAAGUCAGUGACCUAACCGAAAGGGAGGAGCUGCCGAAGGUGGAGCCGGUAACUGGGGUGAAGUCGUAACAAGGUAAC
rnacentral:rRNA from 1 species